UAAGGAAUAUUGGACAAUGGGCGCAAGCCUGAUCCAGCCAUGCCGCGUGAGUGAUGAAGGCCUUAGGGUUGUAAAGCUCUUUUAGCGGGGAAGAUAAUGACGGUACCCGCAGAAAAAGCCCCGGCUAACUUCGUGCCAGCAGCCGCGGUAAUACGAAGGGGGCUAGCGUUGCUCGGAAUUACUGGGCGUAAAGCGCACGUAGGCGGACUCUUAAGUCGGUGGUGAAAUCCUGGAGCUCAACUCCAGAACUGCCUUCGAUACUGGGAGUCUUGAGUUCGGGAGAGGUGAGUGGAACUGCGAGUGUAGAGGUGAAAUUCGUAGAUAUUCGCAAGAACACCAGUGGCGAAGGCGGCUCACUGGCCCGAUACUGACGCUGAGGUGCGAAAGCGUGGGGAGCAAACA
rnacentral:rRNA from 1 species